GGCUUUUUUUGUUUUGUUUUUCAAGAUUUUAUUUAUUACAGCGAGAAAGGGAACACAAGCAAGGAGAGUGGGAGAGGGAGAAGCAGGCCUCCCUGCGAAGCAAGUAGGGAGCCCGAUGUGGGGCUUAUCAACUCCAUCCCAAGUGGCCGGCUACCACCAAGGUUAAAAUGUUACUUUCUUUGAACACUGCAGUUUCAGUGUCCUAGCAAAACUUUAGGAAGCUUUAUUCUCUCACCUCGUUGGUGAAUAAGGAGCGAACCAUUUGCCCUGCAUCCAGAUAUUUCUCCGAAGCCAGUUUUGUUGGGGUUGCCUUUGCUUCUGCCCAGCUGGAUCAGGGCAUCUGAAAAAAUCAAACAUGAGGAGCUAUUUUCUUAGAUAACACAAAAGGAAGUACAAAAUAGUUCACCCUGGCUUGCGUGUACGAGAGAGUGACUCACCCCUGAGAGCUAAUUGGGGUUAAUUAUUACCAGCCUGACUUGUCAAGGCAACAAAACAUCUGGUGUAACUUACUCUCAGACAGGGGAGUUGCUUCUGAAGCUCACCACGUUGAAAACACCGUGUGUACCUUUCAACCUAUGAUUAUCUAAAAUGGGAGGGGACUGUGGAAUGCUCCAGUGGAAUUAAGCUCACAAUUAGGCCCUGGCAAGAUGAAGUCACACACCAAGGAGAGAAAUCGUCCUCUCUCCUCCUCGCCACGUGACAAGCGGAGACAUCAGUUAAGAAUGGUGAUUACCUUUUGCCCCUCUAUUUUAUCCCUUCUUAUAUAUGCCAACCCUUUACCCAGAGCUCCCAACUGCCAAGGAGGCUGGAUUUCUCAGUUUUGUUUUAGUUAAUUUGCUCAGGCCUGGUGUGUCUCCAGCACUGCAGGGGAAAUUAGAACAAAAGCACGAACACGCAGAAAUCCUAUGCCUUCUGUCCAGGGAUUCUGUGCGCCCUCCUUCAGCCUGCACUAAAUUUAGAAAAGGAUCCAUCAGCUUCCUGCCCAGCAGCGCCCAGAAAGGAAGAGCGGCGUCCGCCCCGCGCCCAGGACCACCCUGGAGGGAGAAGCCGCCCAGCCACCGCGGAGACCCGAAGCUGUCUGGAGCCCGAGCCUCCUACCUUCCAUCACCUGCCACUGCCCUCGGCUUGCAUACACGUGCCCGGAGCUGAU
rnacentral:lncRNA from 1 species